GCCGGGGUGGCGGAACUGGCAGACGCACAGGACUUAAAAUCCUGCGGUGAGAGAUCCCCGUACCGGUUCGAUUCCGGUCCUCGGCACCA
rnacentral:tRNA from 1 species